rnacentral:sRNA from 1 species
CGGCAGGAGGGAAGAUGGCGGACGAGGAGAAGCUGCCGCCCGGCUGGGAGAAGCGCAUGAGCCGCAGCUCAGGUGCCGCGGGGGUCGGGGCUGGGGCGGGACUGCGCGGGCCCGCGUAAGCAGGGCUCGAGCUCGCCCCUUGGGCGCGGCGGCAGCGCUGCCUCCCUCCCAUGGGGUCCUGGCUCCUCCGCGUCGUCCCCGGGGUAACGGCCCCGGCCCGCCCUGUUGUGGGGACUGCGAGCCUCAGGAGCCGCCGGGAAGCCUGAGGAAGCUGAGGCAGGGGGCUGGGCGGGUGAGGGUCGGGGGAGUCCGGGGCGAUGGCCCUGGCCCUGCCGGCCCGGCUGAUACCUCUCGGCCUAAUGCACCUGACACCCCGGGAGACGUCUGUGCACCUUGCUGGGCCCGGGGGCACCCCUGGGAGGGAGACACCCCAGUACCCUGCAAAGGGCGUAGGGUGUUGCCCGGCCUCGGGUCCACAACCUACCCCUGCUAACACCCCUGCUGUGUACACCUAAUGCUGAGUCUGCGACAUCGCCGGUGACAUUCUGCCAGACGAUGGCCCCUGUGCUUAGGCCCGAUUUAAGGGUUAGCCACAGUGAUAAUAUUGCCAGUAACAGGGCAUGUUUGUCUCUGUGUCAAGCGCUUUAAGUUCUCUCUGAAUUGCCGCAACUCUGGGAGCCAGGUAGUUACUACUUCCAUCUUACCAGCAAGGAAACUGAGGUCAGAAAACUGAAGGAACUCGUCCAAGAUCAUUCAUUUCAGGGGCUGGGGGUUGGAUUAGGACCUAGGCAUUUUGCCUACAAAUCCCCCUGCCCGUGUCACUGCAAACUCCUGAGGAGGAGGCCCAGCAUCUGUGGGCAGGUCCCGAGUCACUCUGCUGCCUCUAGAGCCCAUAGCAAUCGCAUUUGCAGUAAUAAUUCUCCUUGGUUGAGUGCCAGGUUCUGGUGAACUGUUUGGAUACAUGGACUCUCCUCAUUAACCCCAUGAGGUUUGAUCUCCUUAUUCUCUAUUCCCCAUUUUUCAGAUGAGAAAACUGAGGUGCAGGGAGAUUAGAGCCCAUUGCCAAGGUUUUAGAGUGAGUCAGUAGCUCAGCUGCAUUUGCACCUGGAACCCGCGCUCUCGCCCACCCUGCUCUAGCCCUGGCCUGUGGCUGGGACCUCCAGCAUAAACCGGAUGCUCUGCCCAGCUCUGGGCCCAUUUCUGCUCAGUUCAACCCUGAUGGCUUCCUUUAUGGGUGACACUCCAUGUCACCCAGGCGAACUGUCAGCCUUUGGAGUGGCACCCAGUAGGGUCUUUACUUCCAGCUUCUUGUUCACAGUCUUCACUCCUUCAUACCCCUCACUCCCUGGGUAACAUCGGGCCACCAGUAAUGCUGGUUCCUAGCUCUGCAGCACCGUGCACGGUGUAGUAGCUAAGAGCAGAGCUUUCGGGUGUGAAGUACCUGAGUACAGUUCCUGCCUUCCCCUGUGUGUGCCUGGAACAGAGUAAACACUCAGGAAGCGUUACCCACUGCUGCCAUUCCCAGAGAUGCAAAAGGUGAGGCCUCCAUUUUGCCAUCUAUACAAUAGAGAUAAUAAAGGCUAUCCCACUCUUAAUGUGUGCCAGUUUCUGUCCUAGGCAUUUUGCAGAUGUGUGAGCUUAUUUAGUGCUUUCUUCUUAUUAUUUUUGGAGAUGGUCUCACUGUGUGGCUCAGGCUGCAGUGCAGCCUCUGCCUCCCAAGCUUAAGCAAUCCUCCCACCUCAGCCUUUCAAGUAGCUGAGACCACAGGCAUGUACCACCCACCCAUGGCUAAUUUUUUAUUUUUUGUUUGUUUGUUUGUUUGUUUGUUUUGAGACAGAAUCUCACUCUGUCACCCAGGCUGGAGUGCAGUGGCAUGAUCUUGGCUCACUGCAACCUCCGUCUCCCGGGUUCAAGUGAUUAUCCUGCCUCAGCCUCCCGAGUAGCUGGGAUUACAGGUGCCUGCCACCACGUCUGGCUAAUUUUUGUAUUUUUAGUAGAGAAGAGGUUUCACCAUGUUGGCCAGGCUGGUCUCGAGCUCCUAACCUCAGGUGAUCCACCUGCCUCAGCCUCCCAAAGUGCUGGGAUUACAGGCCUGAGCCACUGCGCCCAGCCAGCCUGUUGUUUUUGUUUUUGUUUUGAGACAAGAGUCUCACUCUAUCGUCCAGGCUGGAGUGCAGUGGCAUGAUCUUGGCUCACUGUAGCCUCCACCUUCCAGAUUGAAACAAUUCUCCUGCCUCAGCCUCCCGAGUAGCUGGGAUUACAGACAUACACCACAACGUCUGGCUAAUGUUGGUUUGUUUGUUUGUUUGUGACGGAGUUUUGCUCUUGUUGCCCAGGCUGGAGUGCAGUGGCACAAUCUCAGCUCAUUGCAACCUCCAUCUCCCGGGUUCAAGCGAUUCUCCUGCUUCAGCCUCCCCAGUAGCUGGGAUUACAGGUGCCUGCCACCAUGCCGGGCUAAUUUUUUAUAUUUUUAGUAGAGAUGGGGUUUCACUGUGUUGGCCAGGCUGGUCUUGAACUCCUGACCUCAGGUGAUCCACCCCGCCUUGGCCUCCCAAAGUGCUGGGAUUACAGGUGAGAGCCACUGUGCUUAGCCCUUUUAAAAAUUUUAAAAAAUUAUUAUUUAGUCCUUUCAAUGACCCUAAGGUAGGAACUGUUAUCUCCAUUUUACAGGUGAGAACACCAAGGCCCAGGGAAGAUAGAUCACAUUUGAACCCAGAUUCAGAUUUGAAUCCAGGUGGCCUGGCUGCUGAGUGCAUGGUUUGAGUCACUCCCUGUCCCCCAGCUUCCUCUGUUCCAUCACUCUGGGUUAUUUUCGUCCUUAAAGUUAUCAGGGAUUGAUACUAUCCUGUGUUUCGUUUGCUUGUUUAGCACCUGUCUGCUCUCACCUAGAAUGUUAGCUCUCUAAGGGCAGGGACUGUAUCCUGCCACAUUGGCCCAUGUCUGGAGAGCCUGUGGCACAUGGUGGAUACACCAUGGAUUUGUUGAAUGAAGGCACCCCCUGCAAGCCAGGCCCUUACCCUGGCUUCUGGCUGUGGGCCCAGGGGUGUCCUGGGAGCACAACCCUAGCUGAAUUCCUGCCUGCCCUCCCCUCCAGGCCGAGUGUACUACUUCAACCACAUCACUAACGCCAGCCAGUGGGAGCGGCCCAGCGGCAACAGCAGCAGUGGUGGCAAAAACGGGCAGGGGGAGCCUGCCAGGGUCCGCUGCUCACACCUGCUGGUGAAGCACAGCCAGUCAAGGCGGCCCUCGUCCUGGCGGCAGGAGAAGAUCACCCGGACCAAGGAGGAGGCCCUGGAGCUGAUCAACGGCUACAUCCAGAAGAUCAAGUCGGGAGAGGAGGACUUUGAGUCUCUGGCCUCACAAUUCAGCGACUGCAGCUCAGCCAAGGCCAGGGGAGACCUGGGUGCCUUCAGCAGAGGUCAGAUGCAGAAGCCAUUUGAAGACGCCUCGUUUGCGCUGCGGACGGGAGAGAUGAGCGGGCCCGUGUUCACGGAUUCCGGCAUCCACAUCAUCCUCCGCACUGAGUGAGGGUGGGGAGCCCAGGCCUGGCCUCGGGGCAGGGCAGGGCGGCUAGGCCGGCCAGCUCCCCCUUGCCCGCCAGCCAGUGGCCGAACCCCCCACUCCCUGCCACCGUCACACAGUAUUUAUUGUUCCCAAAAUGGCUGGGAGGGGGCCCUUCCAGAUUGGGGGCCCUGGGGUCCCCACUCCCUGUCCAUCCCCAGCUGGGGCUGCGACCGCCAGAUUCUCCCUUAAGGAAUUGACUUCAGCAGGGGUGGGAGGCUCCCAGACCCAGGGCAGUGUGGUGGGAGGGGUGUUCCAAAGAGAAGGCCUGGUCAGCAGAGCCACCCCGUGUCCCCCCAGGUGCUGGAGGCAGACUCGAGGGCCAAAUUGUUUCUAGUUAGGCCACGCUCCUCUGAUCAUUCGCAAAGGCGAACACUCGUGCGGCCCAGCCAUGGGCCCUCUGAGCAACUGUGCAGCACCCUUUCACCCCCAAUUAAACCCAGAACCACU